rnacentral:rRNA from 1 species
CUGCGAAUGGCUCGUUAAAUCAGUUAUAGUUUAUUUGAUAGUGCAGCCUACUCGGAUAACCGUAGUAACACUAGAGCUAAUACGUGCGUAAAUCCCGACUUAUGGAAGGGACGUAUUUAUUAGAUUUAUGGCCAGCCGGGCUUGCCCGACCAGCGAUGAAUCAGGGUAACUUGACGGAUUGCAUGGCCUUUGUGCCGGCGACGUGUCAUUCAAGUUUCUGCCCCAUCAGGUUUCGACUGUAGUGUAUUGGACUACAGUGCCUAUAACGGGUAGCGGAGGAUUAGGGUUCGAUUCCGGAGAGGGAGCCUGAGAAACGGCUACCACAUCCAAGGAAGGCAGCAGGCGCGCAAAUUACCCAAUCCCAAUUCAGGGAGGUAGUGACAAGAAAUAGCAAUGCGGGGCUUCUUGCUCUGCAAUUGGAAUGAGUACAAUUUAAAUCACUUAACGAGUAUCAAUUGGAGGGCAAGUCUGGUGCCAGCAGCCGCGCUAAUUCCAGCUCCAAUAGCGUAUAUGUAAGUUGUUGCGAUUUAAAAGCCCGUAGCUUGAACCUCGG